GUAGAGGAUUAUUGGAACUGAGUUCCUUCCUCUAUUUCCCUACCCUGCAGGAGCAGAGGAAGGACAGAAGAGUGCAGAGCUCACUUUUCAAACACUGAGGAAGUUAGGGCAGUUUAUUACCAAAGACUGUUUUUCUGGAAUAGUGAAACACCUGUGGACUCCUUCCUCCAACUAUGAAUGCCUUCAUCCCCAGAAAUAAGUAGAAGAAGAGCAAGAGGAGAAAGAAGGAGAAGCUUGAGGAAUCAACGGCCAUAAACUUUGAAGAUUACAGAGGAGGUGAUGGAGAGGACAGCUCUGGUGGAUGGGUGGUUUCUGCCAUUAGGGAAGGUUACGGAACGGCCAUCACUUCAGGUCAACGAUGGAUGACCCACCCUCUUGCCUCCUCUGCAUAGAGAUUUGUGAAUAAAGGCCUUCAGCAGCAACCUCUGAGGGCACCAUUGAUCUGUCACUGCAGGGAUUUUGACAAGAAGACUUCAGGACUGAGAACCUGUGCAAAAUAAUUAAAGUGAUGGUGGUUUGUGUAGAGUCA